GAUGAACGCUGGCGGCGUGCUUAACACAUGCAAGUCGAACGAUGAUCCCAGCUUGCUGGGGGAUUAGUGGCGAACGGGUGAGUAACACGUGAGUAACCUGCCCUUAACUCUGGGAUAAGCCUGGGAAACUGGGUCUAAUACCGGAUAUGACUCCUCAUCGCAUGGUGGGGGGUGGAAAGCUUUUUUGUGGUUUUGGAUGGACUCGCGGCCUAUCAGCUUGUUGGUGAGGUAAUGGCUCACCAAGGCGACGACGGGUCGCCGGCCUGAGAGGGUGACCGGCCACACUGGGACUGAGACACGGCCCAGACUCCUACGGGAGGCAGCAGUGGGGAGUAUUGCACAAUGGGCGCAAGCCUGAUGCAGCGACGCCGCGUGAGGGAUGACGGCCUUCGGGUUGUAAACCUCUUUCAGUAGGGAAGAAGCGAAAGUGACGGUACCUGCAGAAGAAGCGCCGGCUAACUACGUGCCAGCAGCCGCGGUAAUACGUAGGGCGCAAGCGUUAUCCGGAAUUAUUGGGCGUAAAGAGCUCGUAGGCGGUUUGUCGCGUCUGCCGUGAAAGUCCGGGGCUCAACUCCGGAUCUGCGGUGGGUACGGGCAGACUAGAGUGAUGUAGGGGAGACUGGAAUUCCUGGUGUAGCGGUGAAAUGCGCAGAUAUCAGAGGAACACCGAUGGCGAAGGCAGGUCUCUGGGCAUUAACUGACGCUGAGGAGCGAAAGCAUGGGGAGCGAACAGGAUUAGAUACCCUGGUAGUCCAUGCCGUAAACGUUGGGCACUAGGUGUGGGGGGACAUUCCACGUUUUCCGCGCCGUAGCUAACGCAUUAAGUGCC
rnacentral:rRNA from 1 species